rnacentral:misc_RNA from 1 species
CUAUGCCCCGGGCCGUGUCGUGUGCGCGAAGAAAUCGCGGAACCUAACCUCCUCCCUCCCUCCCGCCUCUUCCGCCGCCGAUCCCCGAUACGCGGCAAAUGGCCGCCGUGGUGCCGCAGUUUCCGUGCGAGGUGUUGCGCGUACGAGCGCCGUGUACGGGCUGCGGGUCCGCGUGCCGCGGUGGUGGGUGUCGUCGACGAUCAGUAACAACGUGGUGGUGGUGGCGGCGGUGGUGAGAUCGGUCGCGUCGCGAUCGAGACGCGGGAGGAGCACCCGGACUCGGUUCCACGACCGGGAUGUGACGUGACGUGAGCGUCGACGAGCGUGACCGUUUCCGCGACAGAGAUUCACCGAACGGGAUUCCUCGUCGAUUCCAACCUCGAGUCUCCAGCCGAGCCGACCAGCCAGGACCGAGCCGACCGACCAGCCGACCGACCAGCCGACAGCCAGCCGCGACGGCUGGCGAUGAACGUCGCCGUGGGAACGGCGACGUCGGUGAUGAAAUCGGUGUCCGAGGGUGAGCUGGGCGUGGAGGAGGAGGUUAAGCGCGCGGAGCCGCGCGGCGCCGCGCGGCUCAAGCGCACCUUUACACUGCCGAGAAACCCGUUUCAAAACGCCAGCAACAGAAUGUCGCGGCGACGUCCGAAGCAGCAGACGUCUCACUGCGCGGACCACCCGGGGAAGGAGUGCGUUGGCGUCAGGAACAACGCGGCGUCGCGACACGCCGCGACAGAGGGUAUCAUGCAGCAACACCAGCAACAGCAACGGCAAAACGCUACGGGGAGAUUGCUGCACGGGAAUCAGCAGAUCGUGCAGGACUGUCAGGAGCGACAGGCGCCCUGCGGCAAGAAGGUGUUUCGUCGGCCCUCCUGGAGGAAGUUUAUCAACAAGAUGGUGCGCCACAUGUCGAACGUGGGCGUCCAGGGCCACAAGGCCGCGGCGGCGGCGGCCGCGGCCGCCGCCGCGUCGAUCCAUCAUCAACGCGGCGACGACCUCGGCUCGUCCGCGGGUGACAUCAGGGUGCCGCCGCCCCCGCGACCGGCCCACAUCCCGGCCGACCGGGUGCCGGGCGUCAUAGGCCUACGCAACCACGGCAACACGUGCUUCAUGAACGCGGUGCUGCAGUGCCUCUCGCACACGGACAUCCUCGCUGAGUACUUCGUCCUCGAUCAGUACAAGAUCGACCUGUCGCGGCGCAACAAGCUCAACUCGAAGAAGUACGGCACCCGGGGCGAGAUCACCGAGCAGCUCGCGCUGCUGCUCAAGGCCAUCUGGAGCUGCCAGUACGACCCGGAGAUGAGCACCGCGUUCAAGAGCGUCGUCGACAAGUACGGCAGCCAGUACCGCGGUAACCUGCAGCACGACGCCCAGGAGUUCCUCCUCUGGCUCCUCGACAAGGUGCACGAGGACCUCAAUCAGGCGACCAAGAAGAAGUACAAGAUCAUUAAGAAUUCAUUUGGCAGACCCGACGACAUCGUCGCCGCAGAGACCCUAGCGAAUCACGUACGAUGUAACAACUCCUUCGUGCACGCCGUGUUUCAAGCACAGUUUCGGUCUAGUUUGACCUGUCCGAGAUGUCAUCGGCAAUCCAACACCUUCGACCCUUUUCUCUGUGUGUCGGUACCGGUGCCGCAGAAUCACCGUCAGAUGAAUCUCUACGUGAACGUCCUCUACACGUCUCAGCAACCCCGGCAAGUUAAGAUCGGCGUGAGUGUGAAUCAAGCGGCCAACGUGAGAGAGCUGAGAGAAAUCCUUGCCAGCGACACCGGCGUAGACGAGAAUCAUAUGCUAUUAACCGAGAUCCAUGACGAAGGAUUUCACAGAACCUUCUCCGACUGUCAACCUCUAUCCGUGAUUAUGGAGAACGAUCCGCUUUACUGCAUCGAACUGCCACAAUUGAAGGAGCCUACGGAACAAGCAUACAUCUUGCUGGUGUGGAUCAAUGUUCUCGUAAAGGGGGAUCUGAAGCAUCGUUUUGGCAGCCCGUAUACGAUGCAAGUUUCGCGGGAAACGUCGUACGAGGAUUUGCAGAAAUUAUUACUCAAGGAGAUGCACAGUACGCUAGCGGACGAUGUUCUCACGACCAGCCAGAGCCCCGGACUUUUCAAUAUUCGCGUGGCGGAUCCAGCAGCGACGCCGAUUCAAGACGAGCAUCCCUGUAUCGAUCCCUGUGUCGAGCAUCCGCUCUACACCGAGCAGAUCGAGCAAGCAUUGGCACUUUGCGCGGACGAUUCCGGACCGCAGCACGUGAAGCUGAUCCUCGAAUGGGACGAGGCCACCAAGCGCAAUAUUAUACAGGACGAUAGCGAUCAGAUUGAGGAGCACGCCAGCGUGAAACAACUCAAGACCAAUUCCGAAUUGGGCGGCGCGGUCACCCUGGAGGAAUGUUUCGAUCUGUACACGCGUGCAGAGAUACUGGGCGCGGAGGACGCGUGGCAUUGUCCUUACUGCAACAAGAAACAGGAAGUUGUGAAAAAACUGGGUCUCUGGUCGUUGCCUGAUAUAUUAGUCAUACACUUGAAGAGAUUCCGCCAGCAGUCUAAGCAGCGGUCAACGUCCAAGCUGACUAUGCUUGUGGACUUUCCUUUGUACGGCUUCGAUAUGACGCCGCAUCUGGCCCACAAUGGCGUUCAGGCGACGCAUAAUAGUGUCACCAGCCUAGGUGGCCUGGGCUGGUCGCCUUGGAAGAAACCGCGUCCGCGACAACACAAUAUCCCCAAGUACGAUGAGAAUGUGUACGACCUCUAUGCAAUAUGCAAUCAUCACGGGCAGGAUCUCCAGGGUGGACAUUACACGGCGUUUUGUCGAAAUCCAUACGACACGCAAUGGUAUUGCUUUGACGACACGCGCGUGGAAGCGGUGAACGACACGAAUUUAAUCACUAAUUCGGCGUACAUGUUAUUUUAUCAACGAAGAGGCUUGUCCAAUAAUUCCACGGGAAAUUCAUCCGCGGCGUCCACGAGCUCGGCCGGCUCUGGUCUGGAUCACUGGGUAUCGAAAAUGCCGCCGUUUUAUUUCAACAACAAGAGCACCAGUGAUGUUACGAACAAUAAGCAAAGUAAAUCGCAAGAGAUACUCUGUCAGGAGAAGAUUGUCGAAGAGAAGAACAUGACUAAUUUCACUAGAGGUUGCGGCAAUUACGCGACUUUACAGCCAAAGAAGAGGAACGCGGCGACGGAAACCGACAUCGGACAGAUGGAUCAUUAUUCGGACGACGAGACACCUUGCAGAAGGGAAUGGGGCUCUCCUAAACCCGUGCGGAAGACUUCAUCCAUUACAUUGACGCCACACAUACCAUCAACAAUAAUUCAGAAUGCCAGCAGUGAUCCGAAUACAACCGUGAUACACGAAUCCACGUUGUAACAUACGAUAUAAGCCAGGCUGAGAUGUCUGGCUCGAGCGAUGCUCAAUGUACAGUGCCUGGUGUGCCGUGAUGUUUGAAUAACGUCGAGUGGGAGAUGCUGAGAUAGAUAACAUGGAUUUCAGCGGCAUGCUUCUCUCCGCGCCUGUCCUUUCAAAAUGUGUAAUAAAUUUACACGCAGGCGAUCUUUUGAGGAUAAUAGAAAAUAUGAGGCAUUAGUAAUUUUUGUAAUUGUAAUACCAUGUUUGUAUACAGCUCGCGUGGAUUGUAUUAUAUUAUAAUAAUAGCUGCUAAAAAAUAGCUUUUUAAAAGAACCUUAUACUCAAUUAUACUUAUAUAUAAAAAAAUCGCGUAUUCUUAAGAAAGAGAGAGAGAGAGAGAGAGAGAAAACUUCUAGUGUUUAUAUAUUAUGUAUCUAGAACUUCAAUACAAUAGGCAACUAAAUUCUACAUUGUGUCCAGAAGAAGGAUAUUUCCGAAAUGACAAUUUCGUGCAAUUAUGUAACGCGUUUAAUAAUAUUAUGUCAACGUAAACAUCAUAAGCAUUGUGUGUUUAUCUUACAAUGAAAGUAUAUGACAAUAACAAAAAAUUUAUACAUUAUCGAUUCUGCGUUAAUACACGUUUUCUCUACAAUAUCGUUUCGUUUCUGGACAUACUAUGUAAUCAUUGACCAUUGCUUUGAAUCUAUGUUUAAUUGUAAUAUUUAUAUUAUACCUGUAUCAUCUCUCCACUAGUGGCCUUAUCUAAAUAAUUAAUACUGAUGCACACACGUCAUUAUUAAGCACAUUAUUCAAUCUUAUUACUUAUAAGCGUUUUAUUUUAGAUACAGAGAUUUUGUUUUUGCAAAA